GGCUCAGACGGUAAAGCAUCUGUCUGCAAUGCAGGAGACCCGGGUUCGAUCCCUGG
rnacentral:tRNA from 1 species